GACAGAGGGCGCGAGCGUUGUUCGGAAUUACUGGGCGUAAAGCGCGCGUAGGCGGAUAUUUAAGUCAGGGGUGAAAUCCCAGAGCUCAACUCUGGAACUGCCUUUGAUACUGGGUAUCUCGAGUAUGGAAGAGGUGAGUGGAAUUCCGAGUGUAGAGGUGAAAUUCGUAGAUAUUCGGAGGAACACCAGUGGCGAAGGCGGCUCACUGGUCCAUUACUGACGCUGAGGUGCGAAAGCGUGGGGAGCGAACAGG
rnacentral:rRNA from 1 species